ACUAUUAGCAGCGUAGGAUUGAGGAGUUGGAAGAGACAUUUAAGACAGCUGGUCAUUAUGCCGACCAGGUGUCCGCACUAAGUUCAGCAUCAAUAUGGUGACCUCCUGGGGGAGGGGGCCACCAGGUUGCCUAAUGAUGAGUGAACUGUCCCAGGUCAGAAAGGGAGCAGGUGAGAAUUCCUGCACCAAUUGGUAGUGGGACUGUGCCUGGGCAAUAUAGCAAGAUCUUGGUUCUU
ensembl:misc_RNA Metazoa_SRP Metazoan signal recognition particle RNA